rnacentral:rRNA from 1 species
UCUGGCUCAGAACGAACGCUGGCGGCGGGCUUCAUACAUGCAAGUCGAGCGGAAAUGCCCUUCGGGGGUACUCGAGCGGCGAACGGGUGAGUAACAAGUGGAUAAUCUGCCUUCCGGUGGGGGACAACGGCUGGAAACGGCCGCUAAUACCGCAUACGGUCAUUGCGCCUUCGGACGCGAUGAAGAAAGGGGCUUCGGCCUCGCCGGGAGAUGAGCCCGCUUCCCAUUAGCUAGUUGGUGUGAUAAAAGCGCACCAAGGCUACGAUGGGUAGCCGAGCUGAGAGGUUGAUCGGCCACACUGGAACUGAGACACGGUCCAGACACCUACGGGUGGCAGCAGUAGGGAAUAUUGCGCAAUGGGCGAAAGCCUGACGCAGCCACGCCGCGUGGGGGAUGAAGGCCUUCGGGUCGUAAACCCCUUUUCUGAGGGAAGAACAAGCCGGGGAGGUAAUGCCCCGGCCCUGACGGUACCUCAGGAAUAAGCAACGGCUAACUCCGUGCCAGCAGCCGCGGUAAUACGGAGGUUGCGAGCGUUGUUCGGAAUUACUGGGCGUAAAGGGGGCGCAGGCGGCCGUGCAAGUGGAAAGUGGAAUCCCGGGGCUCAACCUCGGACGUGCUUUCCAAACUGCAUGGCUUGAGUCCGGGAGAGGAAGAUGGAAUUCCAGGUGUAGCGGUGAAAUGCGUAGAUGUCUGGAGGAACACCAAUGGCGAAAGCGGCUUACUGGACCAAAACUGACGCUGAGGUACGAAAGCGUGGGUAGCAAACCGGAUUAGAUACCCUGGUAGUCCACGCCCUAAACGAUGUCAACUAGUUGUUGGGAGCCUUAAUAGCUCUUAGUGACGAAGCUAACGCGUUAAGU